UACGAAGGGUGCAAGCGUUGUUCGGAAUCAUUGGGCGUAAAGCGCGCGCAGGCGGAUUAGUAAGUCAGGUGUGAAAUCUCGGGGCUCAACCCCGAAACUGCGCCUGAAACUAUUAGUCUAGAGUGUCGGAGGGGACAGGGGAAUUUCACGUGUAGGGGUAAAAUCCGUAGAGAUGUGAAGGAACACCGGAGGCGAAGGCGCCUGUCUGGACGACUACUGACGCUGAGGCGCGAAAGCGUGGGGAGCAAACAGG
rnacentral:misc_RNA from 1 species